AGAAUGGUACGCAGAACCUACUAAUUUUCUCCUCUCUGACCUCGGACCGAGGAGGACCGCUCGAUCAAACAAGGGAUUCAAAAGAGGGAAUCCGGCUUUAUUUUCUGGGGGGGGAAGAAAAUGAUGUUCGAUUCAAGUGGUACUAGUCAUCGUUUCAGGGACGGAGCCAUGCACCUCAAAUAAGACGCCCAAAUUGAUGCCAACUUGAAGCAACAAUUCAUAGAAUCUCAACUUUAGGAGCGAUUAUUAUAUGCAUUAUUGUACGUUGGAUCAUGCUGAAUUAAGUUAUUCUAAUGAAAAAUUAAUUAUUAUUAUGUUA